CCAUUACUUCACACGGAUCAUGAUCCCCUGAAUUCUGUCCUAUAAUCCCUACUUUUGUACAAUCCCCCAAUCUCAUUUCAAAUUCCAAAUCCACAGCUCCCUUCGCUUUUCAUUCUCUCUCCGAUUUUGGAUCUGGAUCUGCUAUAUCUUUGCCUUGCGUGGCUUAAUUCCAACAUUCAGUUUCUAAUUCAAGCUCUCAACAACGGGGACAAAUACAUCAACCAACGGCGACACAGUCAGGUUGUUUAAAUUUAGGGUUCCAGCAAAAAAUGGAGAUGGUUACGAGUUCCGGUGGUGAUUGUGUUAAGAUUCUACAGCCAUCAGAGGAGAGGAGGAUGGACCUUCCAACGAAGCUCCGGUGAAGAUUUUGGCAACUCCGGUAAGGAAGUUCUGCCGUGCUUUCCUUCUAUUCAAGGGUUAUAGUAGAGCAAAAGAUCUAGAAAGUGAGGAACUAACUAUUGGAACAACUUCCUUCUUUGCUGUAUCUACUGUAUCACCUUAUCGGAUGCAUGGUGGAUGUUUGGACAAAGGAAAGAGAAGUUGCUGGAUUAAAGGCAGCUUGAGGGAUGUUAGCUUACAUGUAUCUUGGCAAGUCAAAUAACCCGUCAUGUUGGCCAGGUCUGAUUACAUUAUUAUCAUGUAGUUUUAUGCCGAUAGCCACCGGAAAGAACAUGGAAAACCUGAUUUUGAGUCAUUUAAGCAAAAGUGAACGCAGCCGCAGCAGUGAAGGGCAUUAAUGAACUGGGUUCCAAAAGGAGUUUCAAGGGCAAUGGUGGACUUGGAGAUGUCGUUUUAUGCAAGAAUAAGUUGGAUGGAAGACAAUAUGAUGUUAAGAAGAUUCAAUUAAAGGGCGGAAGUCAUCCUUUAGAUGAUAAAAUCAAGUAUUUAGUUGGAAUUGCUAACAACCUUGCUUUUCUAGUUCUGUACCCGUUCGGUGGACAGACAUAUUAAUGGUAUAAUGACAUAAGUUAUACCCUGAUUAUGUUUUAACCUGUCUUCUAGUUUUGUUUUGUUUGUUUUAGUAUUUAAAUUUCUAUAACUAGUACUUUUAUUUGGUUGUUUGUAAGAUUAAUGUUUAUUAGUUUAAUUAAGAAUCUUAAUUUGUUUCCAUAAUGCUUUGGUAUUUGUUUGUACAUAUUGAACAUUUUUAUUUACAUAUAGUGUGGUUA
rnacentral:lncRNA from 1 species